rnacentral:rRNA from 1 species
GUAGUCCACGCAGUAAACGAUGAUUACUCGCUGUUUGCGAUAUAUUGUAAGCGGCUUAGCGAAAGCGUUAAGUAAUCCACCUGGGGAGUACGCCGGCAACGGUGAAACUCAAAGGAAUUGACGGGGGCCCGCACAAGCGGAGGAACAUGUGGUUUAAUUCGAUGAUACGCGAGGAACCUUACCCGGGCUUGAAAUGCAGACGAAUAAUGUGGAAACAUGUUAGCUAGCAAUAGCGUCUGUGUAGGUGCUGCAUGGUUGUCGUCAGCUCGUGCCGUGAGGUGUCGGCUUAAGUGCCAUAACGAGCGCAACCCUCAUCGAUAGUUACCAUCAGGUAAAGCUGGGGACUCUAUCGAGACUGCCGCCGUAAGGUGAGA